rnacentral:rRNA from 1 species
CCUACGGUGAGCAGCAGUGAGGAAUAUUGGUCAAUGGCCGGAAGGCUGAACCAGCCAUGCCGCGUGAAGGUCAGUGCCCUAUGGACGUUAAACUUCUUUUGUGCGGGAGCGAUAAUGGUCACGUGUGGCCAGACGAGAGUACCGUACGAAUAAGCAUCGGCUAACUCCGUGCCAGUAGCCGCGGUAAUACGUGGGAUGCAAGCGUUAUCCGGAUUUAUUGGGUUUAAAGGGUGCGUAGGCUGUGAGGUAAGUCAGCGGUGAAAUGCCCCCGCUCAACGGGGUGAAGUGCCAUUGAUACUGCCUUGCUGGAAUGCGGAUGCCGUGGGAGGAAUGUGUGGUGUAGCGGUGAAAUGCAUAGAUAUCACACAGAACACCGAUUGCGAAGGCAUCUCACGAAUCCGCGAUUGACGCUGAUGCACGAAAGCGUGGGUAUCAAACAGGAUUAGAUACCCUUGUAGUC